GAUCAUGGCUCAGGAUGAACGCUAGCGGCAGGCUUAACACAUGCAAGUCGAGGGGCAGCAUAAUGGAUAGCAAUAUCUAUGGUGGCGACCGGCGCACGGGUGCGUAACGCGUAUGCAACCUACCUUUAACAGGGGGAUAACACUGAGAAAUUGGUACUAAUACCCCAUAAUAUCAUAGAAGGCAUCUUUUAUGGUUGAAAAUUCCGAUGGUUAGAGAUGGGCACGCGUUGUAUUAG
rnacentral:rRNA from 1 species